AUUGAACGCUGGCGGCAUGCCUUACACAUGCAAGUCGAACGGUAACGGGCCUUCGGGUGCCGACGAGUGGCGAACGGGUGAGUAAUACAUCGGAACGUGCCCGAUCGUGGGGGAUAACGAGGCGAAAGCUUUGCUAAUACCGCAUACGAUCUACGGAUGAAAGCAGGGGACCGCAAGGCCUUGCGCGGACGGAGCGGCCGAUGGCAGAUUAGGUAGUUGGUGGGAUAAAAGCUUACCAAGCCGACGAUCUGUAGCUGGUCUGAGAGGAUGAUCAGCCACACUGGGACUGAGACACGGCCCAGACUCCUACGGGAGGCAGCAGUGGGGAAUUUUGGACAAAGGGCGCAAGCCUGAUCCAGUCAUGCCGCGUGCAGGAUGAAGGCCUUCGGGUUGUAAACUGCUUUUGUACGGAACGAAAAGCCUUCUUUUAAUACAGGAGGGUCAUGACGGUACCGUAAGAAUAAGCACCGGCUAACUACGUG
rnacentral:rRNA from 1 species